UAGGGAAUCUUCCGCAAUGGACGAAAGUCUGACGGAGCAACGCCGCGUGAACGAUGAAGGUCUUCGGAUCGUAAAGUUCUGUUGUUAGGGAAGAACAAGUACCGUGCGAAUAGAGCGGUACCUUGACGGUACCUAACGAGGAAGCCCCGGCUAACUACGUGCCAGCAGCCGCGGUAAUACGUAGGGGGCAAGCGUUGUCCGGAAUUAUUGGGCGUAAAGCGCGCGCAGGCGGUUCCUUAAGUCUGAUGUGAAAGCCCACGGCUCAACCGUGGAGGGUCAUUGGAAACUGGGGGAACUUGAGGACAGAAGAGGAGAGUGGAAUUCCACGUGUAGCGGUGAAAUGCGUAGAUAUGUGGAGGAACACCAGUGGCGAAGGCGACUCUCUGGUCUGUUUCUGACGCUGAGGUGCGAAAGCGUGGGUAGCAAACAGGAUUAGAUACCCUGGUAGUCCACGCCGUAAACGAUGAGUGCUAGGUGUUAGGGGGCGUUCCACCCCUUAGUGCUGAAGUUAACGCAUUAAG
rnacentral:rRNA from 1 species